rnacentral:tRNA from 1 species
AAACUGCGUAGUUCAGUGGCAGAACGUAAGCUUACCUGUGGUAUAUUACCACUAACAGAGCCGUGCAGUUACGGCGGUUCGAUUCCGUCCGAAAGUUUU